rnacentral:rRNA from 1 species
CCUACGGGUGGCAGCAGUGAGGAAUAUUGGUCAAUGGACGAGCGUCUGAACCAGCCAAGUAGCGUGAAGGAUGACUUCCCUAUGGGUUGUAAACUUCUUUUAUAUGGGAAUAAAAUGUUCCACGUGUGGGAUUUUGUAUGUACCAUAUGAAUAAGGCUCGGCUAACUCCGUGCCAGCAGCCGCGGUAAUACGGAGGAUCCGAGCGUUAUCCGGAUUUAUUGGGUUUAAAGGGAGCGUAGGUGGAUUGUUAAGUCAGUUGUGAAAGUUUGCGGCUCAACCGUAAAAUUGCAGUGGAAACUGGCAGUCUUGAGUACAGUAGAGGUGGGCGGAAUUCGUGGUGUAGCGGUGAAAUGCUUAGAUAUCACGAAGAACUCCGAUUGCGAAGGCAGUUCACUGGACUGCAACUGACACUGAGGCUCGAAAGUGUGGGUAUCAAACAGGAGUAGAUACCCCUGUAGUC